rnacentral:rRNA from 1 species
UACGUAGGGUGCGAGCGUUAAUCGGAAUUACUGGGCGUAAAGCGUGCGCAGGCGGUUUUGUAAGCCAGAUGUGAAAUCCCCGGGCUUAACCUGGGAAUGGCAUUUGGGACUGCAAGGCUGGAGUGCGGCAGAGGAGACUGGAAUUCCUGGUGUAGCAGUGAAAUGCGUAGAUAUCAGGAGGAACACCGAUGGCGAAGGCAGGUCUCUGGGCUGACACUGACGCUCAUGCACGAAAGCCGUGGGGAGCAAACAGG